rnacentral:rRNA from 1 species
CGGGGUGGAGUAAUGUCUGGGAAACUGCCUGAUGGAGGGGGGUAACUGCUGGAAACGGUAGCUAAUACCGCAUAACGUCGCAAGACCAAAGAGGGGGACCUUCGGGCCUCUUGCCAUCGGAUGUGCCCAGAUGGGAUUAGCUAGUAGGUGGGGUAACGGCUCACCUAGGCGACGAUCCCUAGCUGGUCUGAGAGGAUGACCAGCCACACUGGGACUGAGACACGGUCCAG